rnacentral:tRNA from 1 species
GGGGUUGUAGCUCAGCCGGGAGAGCAGCUGCUUUGCAAGCAGAAGGUUGCGGGUUCGAUUCCUGUCAGCUCCA